rnacentral:misc_RNA from 1 species
AAAAAAGUAAUAAUAAUAAUAAUUUUUCCUUUCCUCUACCACCACCCUAACAAAGAAAAACAAAUCUCCUCUUUUCUCUCUCUUUCUUCUCCCCCAAGGAAAUCAGCCAUGCUACAUAUAUAGAGUUAUAGACUCGUCUUCUAGAUUGCAAUUGCUUUGAAUAAUUAAUUCUUGAUGUUCGACUUCGACCACAGUUACCUAGAACGCAAUACUAUCAGAUCGUGGUACAUGGUAUGCAAUAUGCCACCUAAAAAAAUAUAGGAUAUGUGGAGGUAGGCUUAAUUGGAACACUAUGUGAA